GAGAUACUCUUCUGGGGCAAGACUUGCUUCAGUGGGACUUUGGUGCUCACUGAGUCUGCCCCCUGAGUGUGUCCCU
rfam:Myotis lucifugus cont2.59309, whole genome shotgun sequence.